GCUCAUACACAGCUCUGUAUCUCCUACAGAAUUACUAGAACGGACAAAGACCCUCAGACCACUGCAAUUUGACUGGAACACUCACGGGGACCACUCAAUAUGGAUGCCAGUUGACUCAUCACAGAACUUUGACUUGAAUAGGAAUUUUAUUUCUAUACAUGCCAAAUUUGACUACUGAUUAGCAUGGUGGUUGGUAAAGGGGAAUGUGACUAUUAGUCCAUUAGAUGAUUAUGAUUUAAAUUUGACUACUGAUUAGCAUGGUGGUUGGUAAAGAGGAAUGUGACUAUUAGUCCAUUAGAUGAUUAUGAUUUAAAUUUGACUACUGAUUAGCAUGGUGGUUGGUAAAGGGGAAUGUGACUAUUAGUCCAUUAGAUGAUUAUGAUUUAAAUGUGACUACUGAUUAGCAUGGUGGUUGGUAAAGGGGAAUGUGACUAUUAGUAGGAAUUAAUAGGAAUUAAUAGGAAUUCUAGAUUUAACUUUGGAUUGGAGAUGUUUGCUAUGGGUCUGGAAAGAGGGUUUAUUGUCUAACCAGACACCUAAGUAUUUGUAGUUGUCCACGUAUUCUAAGUCAGAGCCGUCCAGAGUAGUGAUGUUGGACAGGCGGGCAGGUGCAGGUAGCGAUCGGUUGAAGAGCAUGCAUUUAGUUUUACUUGUAUUUAAGAGCAAUUGGAGGCCACGGAAGGAGAGAUGUAUGGCAUUGAAGCUUGCCUGGAGGGUUGUUAACACAGUGUCCAAAGAAGGGCCAGAAGUAUUACAGAAUGGUGUCGUCUGCGUAGAGGUGGAUCAGAGACUCACCAGCAGCAAGAGCGACCUCAUUGAUGUAUACAGAGAAGAGAGUCGGUCCAAGAAUUGAACCCUGUGGCACCCCCAUAGACUGCCAGAGGUCCAGACAGCAGACCCUCCGAUUUGACACACUGAACUCUAUCAGAGAAGUAGUUGGUGAACCAGGCGAGGUAAUCAUUUGAGAAACCAAGGCUGUCGAGUCUGCCGAUGAGGAUGUGGUGAUUGACAGAGUCGAAAGCCUUGGCCAGGUCAAUGAAUACGGCUGCACAGUAAUGUUUCUUAUCGAUGGCGGUUAAGAUAUCGUUUAGGACCUUGAGCGUGGCUGAGGUGCACCCAUGACCAGCUCUGAAACCAGAUUGCAUAGCAGAGAAGGUAUGGUGAGAUUCGAAAUGGUUGGUAAUCUGUUUGUUGACUUGGCUUUCGAAGACCUUAGAAAGGCAUGGUAGGAUAGAUAUAGGUCUGUAGCAGUUUGGGUCAAGAGUGUCCCCCCCUUUGAAGACUGGGAUGACCGCAGCUGCUUUCCAAUCUUUGGGAAUCUCAGACGACACGAAAGAGAGGUUGAACAGGCUAGUAAUAGGGGUGGCAGCAAUUUUGGCAGAUAAUUUUAGAAAGAAAGGGUCCAGAUUGUCUAGCCCGGCUGAUUUGUAGGGGUCUAGAUUUUGCAGCUCUUUCAGAACAUCAGCUGAACGGAUUUGGGAGAAGGAGAAUUGGGGAAGGCUUGGGCGAGUUGCUGUGGGGGGGUGCAGUGCUGUUGACCGGGGUAGGCGUAGCCAGGUGGAAAGCAUGGCCAGCCGUAGAAAAAUGCUUCUUGAAAUUCUCAAUUAUGGUGGAUUUAUCAGUGGUGACACGAAACACUAUAUUCAGUGCAGUGGGCAGCUGGGAGGAGGUGUUCUUAUUCUCUAUGGACUUUAGUGUCCCAGAACUUUUUUGAGUUAGUGUUGCAGGAAGCAAAUUUCUGCUUGAAAAAGCUAGCCUUGGCUUUUCUAACUGCCUGUGUAUAAUGGUUUCUAGGUUCCCUGAACAGCUGCAUAUCACGGGGGCUGUCUAUAGGUAACUGUAGUUGGGUCUGUGGUUGUAAAUGGUAGAAUGUGUGUCUAUAGGUAACUGUAGUUGGGUCUGUGGUUGUAAAUGGUAGAAUGUGUGUCUAUAGGUAACUGUAGUUGGGUCUGUGGUUGUAAAUGGUAGAAUGUGUGUCUAUAGGUAACUGUAGUUGGGUCUGUGGUUGUAAAUGGUAGAAUGUGUGUCUAUAGGUAACUGUAGUUGGGUCUGUGGUUGUAAAUGGUAGAAUGUGUGUCUAUAGGUAACUGUAGUUGGGUCUGUGGUUGUAAAUGGUAGAAUGUGUGUCUAUAGGUAACUGUAGUUGGGUCUGUGGUUGUAAAUGGUAGAAUGUGUGUCUAUAGGUAACUGUAGUUGGGUCUGUGGUUGUAAAUGGUAGAAUGUGUGU